AAUCCGUUAGAAGGGCCACUAUCAUAGUUCAGACUCUCAUUACCUCUUAUUUGGACUAUUGGAAUGGCCCCUAAUUGGUCUU
rnacentral:pre_miRNA from 1 species